AACGAACGCUGGCGGCAGGCUUAACACAUGCAAGUCGAACGCUCGUGGCAACACGGGAGUGGCGGACGGGUGAGUAACGCGUGGGAACGUGCCCUGAGGUUGGGAAUAACUGCGGGAAACUGCAGCUAAUACCUGAUGAGCCCCGAGAGGGGGAAAGAUUUAUCGCCUUGGGAGCGGCCCGCGUCGGAUUAGCUAGUUGGUGGGGUAACGGCCUACCAAGGCUUCGAUCCGUAGCUGGUCUGAGAGGACGAUCAGCCACACUGGGACUGAGACACGGCCCAGACUCCUACGGGAGGCAGCAGUGGGGAAUCUUGCGCAAUGGGGGCAACCCUGACGCAGCCAUGCCGCGUGAAUGAUGAAGGCCUUAGGGUUGUAAAGUUCUUUUGCCCGUGACGAUGAUGACGGUAACGGGAGAAUAAGCUCCGACUAAACUUCGUGCCAGCAGCCGCGGUAAU
rnacentral:rRNA from 1 species